rnacentral:rRNA from 1 species
GACGAACGCUGGCGGCGUGCUUAACACAUGCAAGUCGAACGGAAAGGCCCUGCUUUUGUGGGGUGCUCGAGUGGCGAACGGGUGAGUAACACGUGAGUAACCUGCCCUUGACUUUGGGAUAACUUCAGGAAACUGGGGCUAAUACCGGAUAGGAGCUCCUGCUGCAUGGUGGGGGUUGGAAAGUUUCGGCGGGUGGGGAUGGACUCGCGGCUUAUCAGCUUGUUGGUGGGGUAGUGGCUUACCAAGGCAUUGACGGGUAGCCGGCCUGAGAGGGUGACCGGCCACAUUGGGACUGAGAUACGGCCCAGACUCCUACGGGAGGCAGCAGUGAGGAAUAUUGCACAAUGGGCGGAAGCCUGAUGCAGCAACGCCGCGUGCGGGAUGACGGCCUUCGGGUUGUAAACCGCUUUCGCCUGUGACGAAGCGUGAGUGACGGUAAUGGGUAAAGAAGCACCGGCUAACUACGUG